rnacentral:rRNA from 1 species
AUGCCUUACACAUGCAAGUCGAACGGCAGCACGGACUUCGGUCUGGUGGCGAGUGGCGAACGGGUGAGUAAUAUAUCGGAACGUGCCCUAGAGUGGGGGAUAACUAGUCGAAAGAUUAGCUAAUACCGCAUACGAUCUAUGGAUGAAAGUGGGGGAUCGCAAGACCUCAUGCUCGUGGAGCGGCCGAUAUCUGAUUAGCUAGUUGGUGGGGUAAAAGCCUACCAAGGCAUCGAUCAGUAGCUGGUCUGAGAGGACGACCAGCCACACUGGGACUGAGACACGGCCCAGACUCCUACGGGAGGCAGCAGUGGGGAAUUUUGGACAAUGGGGGCAACCCUGAUCCAGCAAUGCCGCGUGAGUGAAGAAGGCCUUCGGGUUGUAAAGCUCUUUUGUCAGGGAAGAAACGGUUCUGGCUAAUAUCCGGAGCUAAUGACGGUACCUGAAGAAUAAGCACCGGCUAACUACGUGCCAGCAGCCGCGGUAAUACGUAGGGUGCGAGCGUUAAUCGGAAUUACUGGGCGUAAAGCGUGCGCAGGCGGUUGUGCAAGACAGAUGUGAAAUCCCCGGGCUCAACCUGGGAAUUGCAUUUGUGACUGUACC